AAACUUCGCAAUGUGCGCAAGCACGACGAGGGAAUCCUAAGUGCCUAUGCUUUGCAUAGGCUGUUCUUCUGUCUAAAAAACAGGGGGAGUAAGGGCUGGGUAAGACCGGUGCCAGCCGCCGCGGUAGCACCGGCGGCUCGAGUGGUGACCGCUAUUAUUGGGUCUAAAGGGUCCGUAGCCGGCCUAAUAAGUUCUUUGGGAAAUCUGGCGGCUUAACCGUCAGGCUGCUGAGGGAUACUGUUAGGCUUGAGACCAGGAGAGGCUAGAGGUACCU
rnacentral:rRNA from 1 species